AGAAUCAACGCUGGCGGCGUGCCUAACACAUGCAAGUCGCACGAGAAAGUGGAGCAAUCCAUGAGUAAAGUGGCGCACGGGUGAGUAACACGUGAAUGAUCUACCUCCGAGUGGGGAAUAACUGAGAGAAAUCUUGGCUAAUACCGCAUAAUACCCACGGGUCAAAGCAGCAAUGCGCUUGGAGAGGAGUUCGCGGCAGAUUAGUUAGUUGGCGGGGUAAUGGCCCACCAAGACGAUGAUCUGUA
rnacentral:rRNA from 1 species